GACGAACGCUGGCGGCGUGCUUAACACAUGCAAGUCGAACGGAAAGGCCCUGCUUUUGUCUGGUGCUCGAGUGGCGAACGGGUGAGUAACACGUGAGUAACCUGCCCUUGACUUUGGGAUAACUACAGGAAACUAGGGCUAAUACCGGCUAGGAGCUCCUGCUGCAUGGUGGGGGGUGGAAUGUUUCGGCGGUUGGGGAUGGACUCGCGGCUUAUCAGCUUGUUGGUGGGGUAGUGGCUUACCAAGGCUGUGACGGGUAGCCGGCCUGAGAGGGUGACCGGCCACAUUGGGACUGAGAUACGGCCCAGACUCCUACGGGAGGCAGCAGUGGGGAAUAUUGCACAAUGGGCGGAAGCCUGAUGCAGCGACGCCGCGUGCGGGAUGACGGCCUUCGGGUUGUAAACCGCUUUCGCCUGUGACGAAGCGUGAGUGACGGUAAUGGGAGAAGAAGCACCGGCUAACUACGUG
rnacentral:rRNA from 1 species